AACACGUGUGCAACCUGCCUUUAUCUGGGGGAUAGCCUUUCGAAAGGAAGAUUAAUACUCCAUAAUAUAUUGAACGGCAUCGUUUAAUAUUGAAAGCUCCGGCGGAUAGAGAUGGGCACGCGCAAGAUUAGCUAGUUGGUGAGGUAACGGCUCACCAAGGCGAUGAUCUUUAGGGGGCCUGAGAGGGUGAUCCCCCACACUGGUACUGAGACACGGACCAGACUCCUACGGGAGGCAGCAGUGAGGAAUAUUGGUCAAUGGGUGCAAGCCUGAACCAGCCAUCCCGCGUGAAGGACGACUGCCCUAUGGGUUGUAAACUUCUUUUGUAUAGGGAUAAACCUACCCUCGUGAGGGUAGCUGAAGGUACUAUACGAAUAAGCACCGGCUAACUCCGUGCCAGCAGCCGCGGUAAUACGGAGGGUGCAAGCGUUAUCCGGAUUUAUUGGGUUUAAAGGGUCCGUAGGCGGACUUAUAAGUCAGUGGUGAAAGCCUGUCGCUUAACGAUAGAACUGCCAUUGAUAUUGUAAGUCUUGAGUAUAUUUGAGGUAGCUG
rnacentral:rRNA from 1 species